CUAGAGCUCCGGAGUUGCUUACCCUUCCUGUAAGGGCAAUCGGACCCUUUCCGAACUCAUGUGAGAAUAUAUCUCUGUUGUAUUCAAAAGGCAUGUGACAUAAUUAUCCCAGCGAUCACUAAAACUGUAAAUUUGGAUGCAAUUAAGAGAGAAAACUCCACACAUUUAUGGAAAUUUAAGAUAUUGAAUAUGUAGUAUAUGCCAGACAAGAUGAUAAUAAAAACUAAAAGCAUCUGGAUGUUGAAUUCUCAGCUCCUUCUCCAGGACCAUGUCUGCCUGGAUGCUGCCAUGCCAUGCUUCCUGCCAUGAGAAUAAUAGACUCAACCUCUGAAACUUGAUGGAAUGUAAUCCAGAAUGUACUUUUUUAUUUCUGAAAUCUCUGUAAAACAGUACAAUGGAAAAAUGAAAACGAAAGACAUAAUUGAGGAAAUCCAACAUCCCACAAAAAGGAAUUCUAGAAAGAUUUGCAGCUUGCUGGCUUGCUGAGUGGAAAAUGAUUCUUUCCCAGUUCUCCUUGGUUUCUUCCUUUCAUGAAUUGAUUAACACUGAGAGAUUAUGUUUUAAUUAUGUCGACUAGAGGUUUUAAAUGAUUCUAGGUUUCUGUGUCCAUUUGUUUUCCUAGGUUUGGGGAAUUUGCUACUGCAAUAUCGUUGUAUAGAUAUUCUUUGCUUUAGUGAGAAACUCAGCUCCUUCUACUCUGUGGUUCUUAGCUUUAGUCUAUUGUACACAUCACAGAGUUAAUGAAAGCUGUGGUCAUACUUGAUUUUUUCUUCAUUACUAUUGAAAUAAAGCAUAUCCUUGACCUUGUCUCCAAUCUCUAUUUUCAAGUCUGUUGGGGAUACAUUCCACUAUUGUUUGAUUGAAAUAUCCAUUUCCAACAUUUCUAUUACUUUGCUUCUUUUUUUUUUGUCCCCACCAAAAAUAAAUAUUUAUAGAAUUGUAAAUCAAAAUGAAACAUUUUUCUGUAUGUAUAAAAACAAAAGGAAACAAACAAAUAAAAAAAUCUGCAUAUUGAUUUGUUGUAACA
rnacentral:lncRNA from 1 species